rnacentral:ncRNA from 2 species
CCAAUAGCGUAUAUUAAAGUUGUUGCAGUUAAAAAGCUCGUAGUUGAAUUUCGGAGUUUGUCGGUUGGUCGGGCUUCACUGUCCGCACUGGCCUGAUGGAUUCCUACCUUCUGAAUAACCAGCAUGCUAUUAAGUUAGUGCGUUGGGGAAGCAGAGCUAUUACCUUGAAAAAAUUAGAGUGCUUAAAGCAGGCUUAUGCUUGAAUAGAUUAGCAUGGAAUAAUAAAAUAGGACGGCAUGGUUCUAUUUUGUUGGUUUCUAGGAUCACCGUAAUGAUUAAUAGGGAUAGUUGGGGGCAUUAGUAUUCAAUUGUCAGAGGUGAAAUUCUUGGAUUUAUUGAAGACUAACUUCUGCGAAAGCAUUUGCCAAGGAUGUUUUCAUUAAUCAAGAACGAAAGUUAGGGGAUCGAAGACGAUCAGAUACCGUCGUAGUCUUAACCAUAAACUAUGCCGACUAGGGAUCGGACGAUGUUAAUUUUUUAAUGACUCGUUCGGCGCCUUACG